GUCGCGGAUANAUNACUAAUCCNNNNGAAAUCCUUAAUGUGUCAUUAAGGAUAACGUAAGGGAAAAUAAUGAUAACAACUUACUAUUAGUGUCGUCCAAGUGCUCGUGCCAGAAGACUCGGUAAGGCGAGAGACNCAAACGUUAAUCGUCUUGAUCAGGCGUAAAGGGUGUGUANGCGGCUUUAANAAUCCAAUUCUCGAUUUACUGUUUAAAUAUGUUAAAUUUUUAAAUUUAACUUAAUUUUCAAUGAUAAAUUCUAUUGUUUUUUUAUUUAUUUAAUAUUUAUAUAAAAUAAAGUUUUUAUCCACAAACAAUUGUACCUCUAAUCUUUAAAACGNAGGUUGAGUUAAUAAUUUCUCAUUUUAAAUNUACUCUUUUUGGAAUACAAAAGAGGGGAGAAAAGGAUCAAUUAAAGCUAGAAUCUACCANAGGUUAAAACAAUACUUAAGGUAGGGGUACUAACUGUAGAUAUUAAGCAGAGUAUUUAAGGCGAAGCAUUUAUCCCAUGAANAUUGACGCUGAAAAACGAANGUGAGGGCNGAAAAAAAGAUUAGAGACCCUUGUAUUCCUCNCUGUCAACGAUAAAUGGUAGUUACUANUUUGAAUAAAUUAGAGACAAUAUUAACACCGAAAACCAUUCCCCCUUGUUGAAUU
rnacentral:rRNA from 1 species